CUUUUAUGUACUUUUAAAAGCCAUUUUUUUUUUCAAAUAUAGAGAAUCCUCAUAACAUUUAUUUAACUUUACUAAAUAGACAAUGUAAUUGUGUACGUAGAGCCACAUUCAUUAUAACAUGUCAUGCAGUGACAGUCAGCACGAACAAUACACACCAGAGUUUGUAAACCUGACCGAAACCCCUACAUUACAUCACGAAUGACAACAAAUGUUCAGGUUUCCCGGACAGUGGCUGCAAGCGCUUCCAGUCAGGCAGGUAUGUUCUGAAAAGAAUACAUGACAAUACACUUAACUGCGUCAAUAGACAAUACGGAAAUUUCAGCAGUACCUUGAUCAAAACUUCAAUCAGAAAUAUUAUAUUUGGCUUGUGUUCGCAUGAUUUUGCCUGGUCUGGCAAAAUCUAGAGAGUCCAGUACAUCAUUGUGGAUCAAUGUAAUGUGAAAUAAACCUUUCAUCAUAUACCUCUACGUACCUAUAUAUAGUGUUAUCUUAGUCAACGUUGACUAUACGUUUAGCAUAUAGAACUUCUUAGUCACAACAUCGGUUAUUUCUUCUUUGAGUUGAACACAGGAGUUUGUAAAAAAACAAAUUGUAUUUCUAACAGAAAAUUCUUAGGUUUACAAUAACACGAAAUAUUUAUUAUCAGUAAUAUAUUAGGAGACAACGAUAACGAGAGCACAUGUUAUUACAAUCAAACCUACGCCAAAGAACAAGUGUGAACAGAGACCAUUCGACGUUUGUACGGUGUAAACAUCUGCAGGGAUUUUCAACCAGGAGAAACAAAUACUAUGCGACUUCUCCCACGUUUGGAUUCCAUAUUUAUACCUUCGUCAGCAGUGAUUUUUUUCUAUACUGUUUUGGUAUUUAUUGUAUACAUACAGUCACGCGGACGAAGGAAUACAACGGUUUCUUCAAAAUAGAUUUAUAUAUGACUAGCUACUGUGCUAAUCGAAAACCAUCUUGUUAACAAUAUGCUAUUUAGCGAUCAUAUGUAUCAUUAUCAUUAUGUGGUCAAGAAGAAACUCCAUUGAAUAAUCAAAUACAUUAGCUUCCUUGAUAUGGACCCAUCCUACUGCCAGAUAAACAUGUGUUACAUUUGCUGUAUAUUUCAGUAAUGAAUGUCAUGAAAAUUAUGCAUAGAAAAAGAAAUGGUAGAUAUUUUGAUAUUUGGUGUGUGUGAGUGUGCAUGUGUGAAGAUAGUUAAUGCCGAAGUUUUUAAGUCAUUGUUUCCGACAAAGAACGCUUAUUGGACGCAAAGUUUACACAUGCAUAAACAUGAAAAAAUGUCUAUAAUAACAGGGUAUUCAAAUAUGUCAAAAAAAAAAUCCGUCAGUACCAAGCAGGUAUCUCUUUGGGUCCUCCAGCGUCCUCGACAUCGCAGAACCAAUGACUCUUAGCAAAACCGCUAACAUGCAGAUCAUAUAGAAUUUCAUCUAGGGAGAAAGAAAAAAACUCUGAUUUUAACGAUCUUUGUUAAUAAAUAAAUAGGAUUUUUCCGGUCGCAAUAUUAUUUACAAUUAGGAAUAUCUUUAAAAAGUUUUGUGGUCAGCGAUGUUUUUGUACUUUUGAUGUCGGAACGGUCCGUUUUUAGGCAAUUUUUACAAAACAGUAUGAUUUGAUACUUUAUAUCCUUUCCGUAGCCGUAGAGUAUUAAAACGUAUUAGCGCCUGAUGGCCCUUUCACGCUUCCGUAGAAUCAACAUCUGAUACGCGAAAUUCAUUUUGGAAAUAUUUCUGCAAUGUCUAGGUCUGCAGCUCUAAAAUAAGGAAAUAUCUGACACCCAAGACAUAUACUGACACUUUUAAACGAAAUAAAAAUACUCUUUGAACCUGAGGGAUUUGUGUUUUAUUCCGAGAGCAAAUACUUUUCCGUUGAUAUAAAGCUGGCAUUUUCAAAUCGUAAGAAAGUGCUGAUGACUUGACUCAAUUAAUAAAAAAAAAAAAAAAACAAAAAAACAACAAAAAACCGCCAUUUCAUUACUUUUAUUUCAGGAGAAAGCUAAUGUUUUCUGUGUCAAAAACAUACGUAUAA
rnacentral:lncRNA from 1 species